GACAGGCAAAUGUGCCCAUUUGAAGGGUCCCCAUGAUCCCUCGGUCCCCGCGAGGACAUUUGUUCUUCACAUGUGAACAAAAACAAGAACACACGCUCGCUCUCUCCCUUCCUCUCUAAUUACUCCAGUCGUUACCAACGGCCAACGAAGACACCACAAUGCUUGCAGUGCGCUAAUGACAUGAUAACUGUAAUUAGAACAUCCUGCCGGACCCGCUAAUUGUCCUUUCCAUUUUACAGAUGAGAGGGGGACAGAGAGAGAGACGGAGAGGGACCGUGCCGAAGGAAAGGAAGAACACAGCCGUCUGAAACCCUCAUUGUGGAAUCUGGUGGAAAACAUCUGCUACCUGCUCGACCCUUCAAAGGAAAUCAGGGUUGAAGAAGGUCUGAAUCUCACAGCGCCUGAUGCAGCUUAUUACACUCGUUUGUCGCAAACAAUGGUGAGGUCGCUUUAGUUGUACCUGCAGACUUGGUUUGCAGUAGCAAGAGAUUUAAAUCUAAGCAUUGCAGUUUACUCAUGUGUCAUGACCUCUUUGUGAACAAAACCCUCUGGUUUGUUGUAUGGUUUCAAUAAAAUGCUGCACGUCUUCAUAACGAAUAA